AGUAUCUGUGGAUUAAAGGUGGCUUUUGGGCUGUCGCAGAUGGAUGAGCCUGCGUUGGAUUAGCUAGUUGGUGGAGUAAGGGCCUACCAAGGCUACGAUCCAUAGCUGAUUUGAGAGAAUGAUCAGCCACAUUGGGACUGAGACACGGCCCAAACUCCUACGGGAGGCAGCAGUGAGGAAUAUUGGACAAUGGGGGCAACCCUGAUCCAGCAAUGCCAUGUGUGUGAAGAAGGCCUUAGGGUUGUAAAGCACUUUAGUUGGGGAAGAAAGCUUUGAGGUUAAUAGCCUUGAGGAAGGACGUUACCCAAAGAAACCGGCUAACUCCGUGCCAGCAGCCGCGGUAAUACGGGGGGUGCAAGCGUUAAUCGGAAUUACUGGUAGGUGGUUUGUUAAGUCAGAUGUGAAAGCCCAAGGCUCAACCUUGGAACUGCAUUUGAUACUGGCAAACUAGAGUACGGUAGAGGAAUGGGGAAUUUCUGGUGUAGCGGUGAAAUGCGUAGAGAUCAGAAGGAACACCAAUGGCGAAGGCAACAUUUUGGACCGAUACUGACACUGAGGGACGAAAGCGUGGGGAUCAAACAGGAUUAGAUACCCUGGUAGUUCACGCUGUAAACGAUGAGUACUAGCUGUUGGAGUCGGUGUAAAGGCUCUAGUGGCGCAGCUAACGCGAUAAGUACUCCGCCUGGGGACUACGGCCGCAAGGCUAAAACUCAAAGGAAUUGACGGGGACCCGCACAAGCGGUGGAGCAUGUGGUUUAAUUCGAUGCAACGCGAAGAACCUUACCUGGUCUUGACAUCCUGCGAUCUUUCUAGAGAYAGAUUGGUGCCUUCGGGAACGCAGUGACAGGUGCUGCACGGCUGUCGUCAGCUCGUGUUGUGAAAUGUUGGGUUAAGUCCCGCAACGAGCGCAACCCCUAUUGAUAGUUACCAUCAAUAAGUUGGGUACUCUAUUGAGACUGCCGCUGACAAGGCGGAGGAAGGUGGGGACGACGUCAAGUCAUCAUGGCCCUUACGACCAGGGCUACACACGUGCUACAAUGGGUAUUACAGAGGGCUGCGAAGGAGCGAUCUGGAGCGAAACUCAAAAAGGUACUCUUAGUCCGGAUUGCAGUCUGSAACUCGACUGCAUGAAGUCGGAAUCGCUAGUAAUCGCAGGUCAGAAUACUGCGGUGAAUACGUUCCCGGGUCUUGUACACACCGCCCGUCACACCAUG
rnacentral:rRNA from 1 species